GACGAACCGAGCGAACGUUGUUCGGAAUCACUGGGCUUAAAGGGUGCGUAGGCGGGCUGCCAAGUUUGGGGUGAAAUCCUCCGGCUCAACCGGGGAAGUGCCUCGAAUACUGGCGGUCUGGAGGGAGGUAGGGGCGUGCGGAACUAACGGUGGAGCGGUGAAAUGCUUAGAUAUGACAUAGAACACCAAUUGCGAAGGCAGCUCGCUACGCGGUUAUUGACACUGAGGCACGAAAGCGUGGGGAUCAAACAGG
rnacentral:rRNA from 1 species